CUGAUGGAGACCUCCAAUAUGAACAAAAAUUAAUUGGAUGAUGACUCCCAAACCCUAUGAGAAAUAUAACAAUGACAUUUGCCAAAUAUGGAUGUCAGAAGGCAUUUUAAACAACUUCAUGAGAGUAGAUACAUCCGGUUAAUAAGUUAUUGAUUUUGUUUUAACUGUAUCCAAUGUGUAAACUCAUGUUGAUAUGGCACUGAUGGGAACCUAUAACAAG
rnacentral:misc_RNA from 1 species